UACGUAGGGGGCAAGCGUUGUCCGGAAUUAUUGGGCGUAAAGAGCUCGUAGGUGGUUUGUUACGUCCGCUGUGAAAUCCUAGGGCUUAACCCUGGGCUUGCAGUGGAUACGGGCAGACUAGAGGUAGGUAGGGGAGAAUGGAAUUCCUGGUGUAGCGGUGAAAUGCGCAGAUAUCAGGAGGAACACCAAUUGCGAAGGCAGCUCGCUGGGACGUUACUGACGCUGAGACGCGAAAGCGUGGGGAGCAAACAGG
rnacentral:rRNA from 1 species